rnacentral:rRNA from 1 species
CCCUUAGAUGUUCUGGGCGGCCCGCGCACUACAAUGGCGUGUGCAGCGAGUGCCGAAGUAUAGUUUUCCGAGGUAUUCUUGCAAUGCUCGUUUUGAUGGGGAUAGACCCUUGCAACUGUUGGUUUUGAACGAGGAAUUCCUUGUAAGCAUGGUUUAUCAUCCGACGCUGAAUGCGUCCCUGCCCUUUGUACACACCGCCCGUCGCUCCUACCGAUGAGUCGUCCGGUGAAGUUCGUAGACCUCGUGAUCGCGGAUCACUGGGGGAAGCAAAAUGAACCUCGCGGUUUAGAGGAAGGAGAAGUCGUAACA